rnacentral:rRNA from 1 species
UACGUAGGGGGCGAGCGUUGUCCGGAAUCAUUGGGCGUAAAGCGCGUGUAGGCGGCCCGGUAAGUCCGCUGUGAAAGUCCAGGGCUCAACCCUGGGAUGCCGGUGGAUACUGUCGGGCUCGAGUCCGGAAGAGGCGAGUGGAAUCCUGGUGUAGCGGUGAAAUGCGCAGAUAUCAGGAGGAACACCAAUGGCGAAGGCAGCUCGCUGGGACGUGACUGACGCUGAGACGCGAAGCGUGGGGAGCAAACAGG